AACGAACGCUGGCGGCAGGCCUAACACAUGCAAGUCGAGCGAGAUCUUCGGGUCUAGCGGCGGACGGGUGAGUAACGCGUGGGAAUAUGCCUCUUGGUACGGAAUAGCCUCGGGAAACUGGGAGUAAUACCGUAUGUGCCCUUUGGGGGAAAGAUUUAUCGCCAAGAGAUUAGCCCGCGUUGGAUUAGGUAGUUGGUGGGGUAAUGGCCUACCAAGCCGACGAUCCAUAGCUGGUUUGAGAGGAUGAUCAGCCACACUGGGACUGAGACACGGCCCAGACUCCUACGGGAGGCAGCAGUGGGGAAUCUUAGACAAUGGGGGCAACCCUGAUCUAGCCAUGCCGGGUGAGUGAUGAAGGCCUUAGGGUUGUAAAGCUCUUUAAGCUGGGAAGAUAAUGACGGUACCAGCAGAAGAAGCCCCGGCUAACUCCGUG
rnacentral:rRNA from 1 species